rnacentral:misc_RNA from 1 species
AAGCUUCUUGCAGUGGCCACACCUGCAAGCAAAGACAGAAGAACAGAAUUCCAUCCUCAGCUCACUUUUGUUACAGAAACUUAAAUGAUCAAAUUUUCAUUACACAAUAGCCAAAAUAAAAUUUUUUGAAAAGGUUGUAACACUAUGUAAAACUUGCAAUGAUGUGAAAGAACAUGCAUUUUUAAUCUAUCAGGUGAUUCUUAAAGUUCUCUCAUAACUUUAGUAUCAUAGUUCAUCUACGGAAAUUUUCUUGAUAUUUCAUGUAACUGAUAUUCCAUUCAUGGAAAUGAUACAUGUUCCUGCUCUUUAAAACUAAAGAUUAUAAGUUCUAACAAGUAAAUUAAUUGCCCUCAAGAUGCUCCAGUAAACACUUUGCCCAACAGAUAAGUCAGCAACAUUCCUAUCACAAUGGGUAGGGAUAGUGGCUGAGAUGGUGGCAGGUAUUGGGAGAGUAGUAGCGGUGCACCGGUGGUUCAUAGGCAGGGUUAGUUAUAAUGGCGGAGUGCCGCAGUUGAGGUUGAAAUAAUUCACAACUCACUGUUUAUCAUGGAUCAAUUACAUUUAAAUAUCGGACACAAAAAGGGAAUACUCCACACAAUUAGUCUCAAUCAUUUCCCUUCAUUUGAUUCAUAGCAGAACCGAAAACUACUCAAGCACGCUUUAUCUCCAGGCAUAGAUCGAAAUCUCAGAAUCCCAAUUGACUGGGAAGUCAACACAGUAAUACAAACAAAAAUGUAAUCACUUUAUGCGAUCACAAUUUAUAGUCUCAAACUCUAUCUUCACAUAUAAAAUUUUUUUUUAAAAAAAUUCAAAUUUAAUCUACAACCAGAUGGAAACAUACAAAGAAACAUCUAAAUAGAAA